GAAACUGCAGGCUAAUUCCGGAUAAGACUACGACGACUCCGGUUGACGUGGAAAAAGGUGGCCUCUCCUUGGAAGCUAUCGCGAAAGGAUGAGCCCGCGUUCCAUUAGCUAGUUGGUGGGGUAAAGGCCUACCAAGGCUCCGAUGGAUAGCUGGUCUGAGAGGAUGAUCAGCCACACUGGGACUGAGACACGGCCCAGACUCCUACGGGAGGCAGCAGUCGGGAAUUUUGUCCAAUGGGGGAAACCCUGAGACAGCAACGCCGCGUGAGGGAUGAAGGCCUUCGGGUCGUAAACCUCUGUCAGGAGGGAAGAAAGCUUCAUUGCAAAUAGUUAUGAAGUCUGACGGUACCUCCAAAGGAAGCACCGGCUAACUCCGUGCCAGCAGCCGCGGUAAUACGGAGGGUGCGAGCGUUGUUCGGAAUCAUUGGGCGUAAAGCGGAUGUAGGCGGGUGGAGUCAGUCAGAUGUGAAAAGCCCAGGGCCCCAACCCUGGA
rnacentral:rRNA from 1 species